rnacentral:rRNA from 1 species
UGGGAAUUUGGACGAAUUGGGCGAAAGCCUGAUCCAGCAAUGCCGCGUGUGUGAAGAAGGCCUUCGGGUUGUAAAGCACUUUUGUCCGGAAAGAAAUCCUUGGCUCUAAUACAGUCGGGGGAUGACGGUACCGGAAGAAUAAGCACCGGCUAACUACGUGCCAGCAGCCGCGGUAAUACGUAGGGUGCAAGCGUUAAUCGGAAUUACUGGGCGUAAAGCGUGCGCAGGCGGUUUGCUAAGACCGAUGUGAAAUCCCCGGGCUCAACCUGGGAACUGCAUUGGUGACUGGCAGGCUAGAGUAUGGCAGAGGGGGGUGAGAAUUCCACGUGUAGCAGUGAAAUGCGUAGAGAUGUGGAGGAAUACCGAUGGCGAAGGCAGCCCCCUGGCAAGUACUGACGCUCAUGCACGAAAGCGUGGGGAGCAAACGGAUUAAU